rnacentral:tRNA from 5 species
GGGUUCCCGAGCGGCCAAAGGGAGCAGACUGUAAAUCUGCCGUCAUCGACUUCGAAGGUUCGAAUCCUUCCCCCACCA